CUCAACAGAUAAAAGUUACGCUAAGGAUAACAGGCUGAUCUGCACCAAGAGUUCACAUCGACGUGCAGGUUUGGCACCUCGAUGUCGGCUUGUCGCAUCCUGUGGCAGAAGCAUGUCUCAAGGGUUGGGCUGUUCGCCCAUUAAAGCGGCACAUGAGCUGGGUUCAGAACGUCGUGAGACAGUUCGGUCCAUAUCCGGUCCAGGCGUUAGAGUAUUGAAAGGAUUUUUUGUUAGUACGAGAGGACCAUAAAAAACGUGCCUCUGGUGUACCAGUUCUUGUGCCAACAGGAAAUGCUGGGUAGCCACGCAUGCAUGGAUAACUGCUGAAAGCAUAUAAGCAGGAAGCCUACCUUGAGAUGAGUACUCUCUAUUUGUAAGAUCACAGCUAGACUAGCUGUUUAUUAGGUAUCAAGUGUAAGAUUAGUAAUGAUUGUAGCUGAGAUAUACUAACAGAUCGAGA
rnacentral:rRNA from 16 species